AAACAUGUGAUGAGAUGUUCAAAGUGAACUAUAAGCCCUUUAAGGGGAGCUUAGAUUCUCAUCUUCUGCUCCUUCUCAUUAUAACCAAGAAACAUUAAUUUUGAUGCUGACAUCUGAGGCAGGUUCUGCAGCAGCUUCUCAUUUUUUUUCAAAUUACAUGUUGGACUGCAAUUAACAACGUAGACAUGGCACCGACAAUCUACUCUGCAUCCCUCCACUCACAAAAACGUUCUGGAGAGACUGCACUUCAUCCACGCAAAGAUAAGGCACAGUGGCUCAUACCUGUAAUCCCAGCACUUUGGGAGGCUGAGGCAGGCGGAUCACCUGAGGUCAGGAGUUUGAGAACAGCCCGACCAAAUGGAGAAGAGGGUGGUUCUACAGUAGCUAUUUCCAAUUGGCAGUUGUGCAUGACCAGAAGCUUCAGAUCAAGUGAGUCAACCAGGACCUAAAUCCAAGGCCUCUGUUCCACUACUGGACAACAGCCCUUUUCAUGGUACAGAUUCCACAAAAGAGAGACAAAGGAAGAGAGGGAAGCAAAAGCCAGGAGAGAGGGCUACGCUGGAGAUUUGAAUCAGCUGGAUUGUUCACCUUCAGAGCUCAAAACCAAAAGAGCAAGAAUUUCCAAAGAGCAAAAAAAGUAUUGUCUUUGCAGAAAGCACAAUACUCUUCCCCUUUUCAAGUUGCUUUUUACCUAUCUGAAGAACACCAGGCCAUCAGAGGCAAUGCACUGGGUUAGACUUACAAGUCAACUUUUCAGGAGAAACAGCACCUAGAGAGAGCUCAAGGUUUGGUCUCCGACUUCAGAGCUGAUUCAGAAUUCUGAUUCUGUUUUCCUACAAGAUGAGCCCCACAUCUCUGUAACUUUUUGCAUAAUGUAUAGAACUACAUAAAUAA